CGUGGCCUCCUUGGAAUCAUAAACGACUCUCGGCAACGGAUAUCUCGGCUCAUGCAUCGAUGAAGAACGUAGCAAAAUGCGAUACUUGGUGUGAAUUGCAGAAUCCCGUGAACCAUCGAGUUUUUGAACGCAAGUUGCGCCCAAUGCCAUUUGGUUGAGGGCAC
rnacentral:rRNA from 1 species